rnacentral:tRNA from 1 species
GCGGCCUUGGCGUAACAGGCAGCCGCGCGGGUUUUAGAUGCCCGUGGGAGUAAUCCCGUGAGGGUUCGAGUCCCUCAGGCCGCACCA